CCCUUCCGUAGGUGAACCUGCGGAAGGAUCAUUAACGAAUAUCUAUGGCGUUGGUUGUAGCUGGCUCCUAGGAGCAUUGUGCACGCCCGUCAUUCAUAUCAUCUUUCCACCUGUGAACCAUGUGUAGGCCUGGAUACCCCUCGCUUUGGCAACAAAGCGGAUGCAAGGAUUGCUGCGUCGACAAGGCCGGCUCUCUUUGAAUUUCCAGGUUCUAUGUCUUUUACACACCCCAUUUGAAUGAUUUAGAAUGUAGUCAAUGGGCUUUCAUGCCUAUAAAAAACUAUACAACUUUCAGCAACGGAUCUCUUGGCUCUCGCAUCGAUGAAGAACGCAGCGAAAUGCGAUAAGUAAUGUGAAUUGCAGAAUUCAGUGAAUCAUCGAAUCUUUGAACGCACCUUGCGCUCCUUGGUAUUCCGAGGAGCAUGCCUGUUUGAGUGUCAUUAAAUUCUCAACCUCACCAGUUUUGUAACGAGACAGGUGAAGGCUUGGAUGUGGGGGUUUUGCAGGCUGCCUCAGUGCUGGUCUGCUCUCCUGAAAUGCAUUAGCGAGCUCAUAUUGAGCUUCCGUCUAUUGGUGUGAUAAUUAUCUACGCCGUGGAUUGGACUCAUGCUUGCUUCUAACCGUCCGCAAGGACAAUUUACUUGACCAAUUUGACCUCAAAUCAGGUAGGACUACCCGCUGAACUUAAGCAUAUCAAUAAGCGGAGGAA
rnacentral:rRNA from 1 species